GCCGCCCGCGCCGGCCACGCCCCGCUCACCUGCGCGCACGCCGCGCCCAGCGCCGGCACCCAGCGCAGGUGCAGCAGCGCCCGGCGCAGCGACGGCACCGCCGAGCGCGACCACACCCAGUCCAGGUGAGUGCCCAGGCGGUAAAACGGACCUGGGGGACAGGUGAGAGACAGGUGUGAGAGACAGGUGUGAUACAGGUGAGAUACAGGUAACAGGUGUGUGACACAGGUGUGAGAUACAGGUGUGAUACAGGUGUGAUACAGGUGAGGCACAGGUGAUACACAGGGAACAGCUGACACAGGUAAGUCCCAAAAUUACCCCCAAAAUCCCCUCUGGGACCCCCAAAAUCCCCUCUGGGACCCCCCAAAUCCCCCCCCAAA
rnacentral:lncRNA from 1 species